rnacentral:rRNA from 1 species
AGUCAUAUGCUUGUCUCAAAGAUUAAGCCAUGCAUGUCUAAGUAUAAGCAAUUAUACAGCGAAACUGCGAAUGGCUCAUUACAUCAGUUAUUAUUUAUUUGAUAAUCGAAAGUUACAUGGAUAACCGUGACAAAUUACAGCUAAUACAUGCAUUCAGACCUGGUCCAAGGGUCGUAAUUAUUAGUAUUAAACCAUUUCCGAAAGGAGUGUGAUGAAUCAUAAUAAUCGAACGAAUCGCCUGGUGUGCGAUAAAUCAUUCAAGUUUCUGCCCUAUCAGCUUUGGAUGGUAGUGUAUUGGACUACCAUGGCAGUCACGGGUAACGGAGAAUUAGGGUUCGAUUCCGGAGAGGGAGCCUGAGAAACGGCUACCACAUCUACGGAAGGCAGCAGGAGCGAAAAUUGCCCAAUCCCGACACGGGGAGGCAGUGACAAGAAAUAACAACUCUAGGUUAUUCUUAGAAGUGUAAUGAGGAUAAUUUACAACCCUUACCGAAAGCAAUUGGAGGGCAAGUCUGGUGCCAGCAGCCGCGGUAAUUCCAGCUCCAAUAGCGUAUAUUAAAGUUGUUGCAGUUAAAAAGCUCGUAGUUGAAGUUCUGGCUGCUCGAUCCUCGAGCUCUGUAGCCGAGGAAUCGACAGUCAUCCGCUUGCAAAUAUAUGUUCGCCUUUAACCGGGCGGCUAUAUGAGUAAGCAUUUUACCUUGAGAAAAACAGAGUGUUCCAGGCAGGUUUGUCCGGAAUGCAUUAGCAUGGAAUAAUAGAAUAUGACUGAAGUCUAUUUAUUGGUUACAGGCUUUAGUAAUGAUUAAUAGGAACAGUCGGGGGCAUUCGUACUCAGCAGUCAGAGGUGAAAUUCUAAGAUUUGCUGAAGACGAACUAAUGCGAAAGCAUUUGCCAAGGAU